CACCAGAGCCGCCAACAGGGAGGCGGAGCCAGAGGUCUGGAGGAACCCGUCGAACAUCUCCAUGACUCUUCAAGAAGAGGACACCUGUGUUCUUCUAGAGCCUCCUGCUCUGCGACUGGUUGGCAAAGACUUCUGAGAAUAGGCUUCAUCCAAAGGGGGGAGGGACGAACCGCCAACACCGCCCACAAACUGUCGCCGGGCCCCUUCAGGUCCUCACACAGCUCUCAGAGUAGAUUUACAGCAGGACCGUGUGCGUCAGUAACGUCUGAUGAACACGAUCCCUUAUGGAGGGAACCAGCAUGCUGAGUCCUCACGUGAUCUGGUCUCCACUAAAGGCUCAAACCUGCAGAGCUGCUGCUGUUCUCACACGUUCUC
ensembl:lncRNA